rnacentral:rRNA from 1 species
UACGGGGGGGGCAAGCGUUGUUCGGAAUUACUGGGCGUAAAGGGCGCGUAGGCGGCCUGCUAAGUCGGAUGUGAAAUCCCUCGGCUCAACCGAGGAACUGCAUCCGAUACUGGCGGGCUUGAAUCCGGGAGAGGGUAGUGGAAUUCCCGGUGUAGUGGUGAAAUGCGUAGAUAUCGGGAGGAACACCAGUGGCGAAGGCGACUACCUGGCCUGUUUCCUGACGCUGAGGCGCGAAAGCUAGGGGAGCAAACGGG